UACGUAGGGGGCUAGCGUUGUCCGGAUUUAUUGGGCGUAAAGAGCGUGUAGGCGGUUUGGUAGGUCCGCUGUGAAAACUCGAGGCUCAACCUCGAGACGCCGGUGGAAACCAUCAGACUAGAGUCCGGAAGAGGAGAGUGGAAUUCCUGGUGUAGCGGUGAAAUGCGCAGAUAUCAGGAGGAACACCGGUGGCGAAGGCGGGUCUCUGGGCAGUAACUGACGCUGAGGAGCGAAAGCGUGGGGAGCGAACAGG
rnacentral:rRNA from 1 species